rnacentral:rRNA from 1 species
ACGGGGGGUGCAAGCGUUGUUCGGAAUUACUGGGCGUAAAGAGCGCGCAGGCGGCUUGGUAAGUCAGAUGUGAAAGCUCUGGGCUUAACCCAGGAAGUGCAUUUGAAACUGCCUAGCUUGAGUAUGGGAGAGGGAAGUGGAAUUCCUGGUGUAGAGGUGAAAUGCGUAGAUAUCGGGAGGAACACCGGUGGCGAAGGCGACUUCCUGGCCGUAAACUGACGCUGAGGCGCGAAAGCGUGGGUAGCAAACGG